AUAAAUUGUGAAGGUUAGUCACUCAGUUUAGCAGGUUUCUAUUUUUGCUCCCCAAGUGCAAUGGAGAAAACAAAAGUAGAAAGCUAAUACAUACUCUUUUAGCAUCUCAACAACGGUCUGAUUGAUCAUGGACGCAUUGUCUUGUGAUCAUUUUUUUCAAGUAGUUUGCAGCAUGUUGCAGAUUAUAAUAAGCAGAGAAAUUAUCUACUUAAAGUAGUUUGCAGCAAAUUUUUCCUCGUAAUUUAUAAUAGGAAUUAUUGAGCCAUGUGCUUUUAUUCGUUUUGCUUUGCUUACAGCAGGCCAAAAAAGUUUGCAAAUCAAAUCCUAAUAUUAUAGAAUGCAGACUUUACACGACUAUUAGCAAUUUUUCAACGAAAUGUUGAAUAUUAUAUGAUAGGCCUGUGACUCCCGUGAGUGGGCAGGUAGAGUCAGAAGUUUCUUACUAAGAAUGUAGGGAGGUUCUCUUAUAAGUAUUUUUAAGUUAAGGAUUGGUUUAUACUUCUAAUUUUGGAUGUUAGAUUGCAUUUAUUAAAUGUGUUGGUAGUCUCUUAGUUGCAAUUCAAUGGUCGAAAUUAGAAGUAUAUAAUCAAUCCUCAACUUAAACGCUUAUUAGAGAAUGUCCUAAGAAAACUUGCUCAACAGAUUCUGUGAUAUAUUCGAAAUAUUAUAAAAUUAUUUCGACCAAAAAAAAAAAGACAUUAAAAUUUUGUACCUCUGUUUCUGGUCGUUGG
rnacentral:lncRNA from 1 species